UACGUAGGGACCAAGCGUUGUUCGGAUUUACUGGGCGUAAAGGGCGCGUAGGCGGCGCGGUAAGUCACUUGUGAAAUCUCUGAGCUUAACUCAGAACGGCCAAGUGAUACUGCAGUGCUAGAGUGUGGAAGGGGCAAUCGGAAUUCUUGGUGUAGCGGUGAAAUGCGUAGAUAUCAAGAGGAACACCGGUGGCGAAGGCGGCAUCCUGGACCAACACUGACACUGAGGAGCGAAAGCCAGGGGAGCAAACGGG
rnacentral:rRNA from 1 species